rfam:Pteropus alecto contig94955, whole genome shotgun sequence.
GUCUCCAUAGUGUAGUCGUUAGCACGUCUGCUUUACAUGUAGAAGGUUCUAGGUUCGUGCCCCAAGUGGAGCCA